AGAGUUUGAUCCUGGCUCAGGACGAACGCUGGCGGCGUGCUUAACACAUGCAAGUCGAACGGAGAUAGAAGCUUGCUUCUAUCUUAGUGGCAAACGGGUGAGUAACGCGUGGGUAACCUACCCUAAAGUGGGGGAUAACAGAUCGAAAGGUCUGCUAAUACCGCAUACCCUUCAAGUACGAGAGUAUUUGAAGGAAAGGAGUAAUCCGCUUAAGGGGGGGCCUGCGUCCUAUCAGGUAGUUGGUGAGGUAACGGCUCACCAAGCCUAUGACGGGUAGCUGGUCUGAGAGGAUGAUCAGUCACACUGGAACUGAGACACGGUCCAGACUCCUACGGGAGGCAGCAGUGGGGAAUAUUCCGCAAUGGGCGAAAGCCUGACGGAGCGACGCCGCGUGGAUGAUGAAGACCCUAUGGGUCGUAAAAUCCUUUUGUGAGGGAAGAAGAUCUGACGGUACCUCACGAAUAAGCCACGGCUAACUACGUGCCAGCAGCCGCGGUAAAACGUAGGUGGCAAGCGUUGUCCGGAAUUACUGGGCGUAAAGAGUGCGUAGGCUGUUUUGUAAGUCUUAGGUGAAAUCUAUCAGCUCAACUGAUAAACUGCUUAAGAUACUGCAUAACUUGAGGGCAGGAGAGGAGAGUGGGAAUUCCCGGUGUAGCGGUGAAAUGCGUAGAUAUCGGGAGGAACACCAGUGGGCGAAAGGCGACUCUCUGGACUGUUCCUGACGCUGUGGCACGAAAGCUUAGGGGGAGCAAACAGGAUUAGAUACCCUGGUAGUCCUAGCCGUAAACGAAUGGGAUGCCUUGUGUAGAGUUAUACCUUCUGUGCGAAGCUAACCGCGUUAGCAUCCCGCCUGGGUACUACGUCCGCAAGUUUAAAACUCAAGCACUGGACGGGUCCGCACAAGUGGUGGACAUGUGUACUCGAAGCAACCGGAA
rnacentral:rRNA from 1 species